GACGAACGCUGGCGGCGUGCCUAAUACAUGCAAGUAGAACGCUGAAGGAGGAGCUUGCUCUUCUGGAUGAGUUGCGAACGGGUGAGUAACGCGUAGGUAACCUGCCUGGUAGCGGGGGAUAACUAUUGGAAACGAUAGCUAAUACCGCAUAACAGUAGAUGUUGCAUGACAUUUACUUAAAAGGUGCAAUUGCAUCACUACCAGAUGGACCUGCGUUGUAUUAGCUAGUUGGUGGGGUAACGGCUCACCAAGGCGACGAUACAUAGCCGACCUGAGAGGGGGAUCGGCCACACUGGGACUGCGACACGGCCCAGACUCCUACGGGAGGCAGCAGUAGGGAAUCUUCGGCAAUGGACGGAAGUCUGACCGAGCAACGCCGCGUGAGUGAAGAAGGUUUUCGGAUCGUAAAGCUCUGUUGUAAGAGAAGAACGAGUGUGAGAGUGGAAAGUUCACACUGUGACGGUAUCUUACCAGAAAGGGACGGCUAACUACGUG
rnacentral:rRNA from 1 species